AGGGUAAACAGGUAAGAAGCAAUCAGGUGAUCAAGAGAAGGUGUUGACGGUGGUGGGAAAGAAACAUUGUGGUGGUGUUGAGUUGGUGAGAAGUCAAAACAACUAGAAAGAGAUGAAUUUUCGAAAAUGAAAGGAAAAAGAACGUGGAGAUGGUUUUGUUGAUGGUUUUGUUCUUCAACAAAACCUUGAUAUAUAAGAAUGUAUGUAUUAUACUUGGUCCACAAGAUACAUGUCUUAUUCCCCAAGUUG